rnacentral:rRNA from 1 species
AGUGAACGCUGGCGGUAGGCCUAACACAUGCAAGUCGAACGGCAGCACAGUAAGAGCUUGCUCUUACGGGUGGCGAGUGGCGGACGGGUGAGGAAUACAUCGGAAUCUACUUUUUCGUGGGGGAUAACGUAGGGAAACUUACGCUAAUACCGCAUACGACCUACGGGUGAAAGCAGGGGAUCUUCGGACCUUGCGCGAUUGAAUGAGCCGAUGUCGGAUUAGCUAGUUGGCGGGGUAAAGGCCCACCAAGGCGACGAUCCGUAGCUGGUCUGAGAGGAUGAUCAGCCAGACGGGAACUGAGACACGGACAAGACUCCAACGGGAGGCAGCAGUGGGGAAUAUUGGACAAUGGGCGCAAGCCUGAUCCAGCCAUACCGCGUGGGUGAAGAAGGCCUUCGGGUUGUAAAGCCGUUCUGUGGGGAAAGAAAAGAAGCAGGUUAAUACCCCGCUGUUCUGACGGUACCCAAAGAAUAAGCACCGGCUAACUUCGUG